GAUGAACGCUGGCGGCGUGCUUAACACAUGCAAGUCGAGCGAAGCAUUUAGGAUGAUCUCUUCGGAUUGAGUCUUAUAUGACUGAGCGGCGGACGGGUGAGUAACGCGUGGGUAACCUGCCUCAUACAGGGGGAUAGCAGUUAGAAAUGACUGCUAAUACCGCAUAAGCGCACAGGGCUGCAUGGCCUGGUGUGAAAAACUCCGGUGGUAUGAGAUGGACCCCGCGUCUGAUUAGCUAGUUGGAGGGGUAACGGCCCACCAAGGCGACGAUCAGUAGCCGGCCUGAGAGGGUGAACGGCCACAUUGGGACUGAGACAC
rnacentral:rRNA from 1 species